AAUGCAAAGGGAAUGGAGAAAGAGACAGGUUCCCCGGUGCCAGCCUGAUCCGACUCUCAGCAGCGCCACCCUCCGGUCUCAGGCAGAAGCGCACCCACGUUUCAAAAAUCUUGUUGCAAAGUGCGAAACGACUGAUUAUUUUGCCCAGUAAAUCACCAGAAUUAACAGAAACUAUGCCAUGUGAGUCACAGCGGUGAGGCAUGACGCUAAGCCAUCCAAUAAACACGAACACCGGCUUGAAUGCGGAUCCACUGACAUUAACCUAUAUUUGACAAACAUCAGAAGAGAAGAGGCAGAAACAGGAAAAUCCUAUUACUUCCAUUUCAUACAAAAACGCACACGAAUGGCAAUACAACGAAAAUCCUGAAGUUGCCAGAUCGCAGAGUGUAGCAAGUGUUUCCUUUCAAUACUGGGCAGAGACAACGCAAACUGUGAAAGCCUGAAUCCUCCUUUCUCACUCCCAGAACGUACUUCGAUUGAUUUAAAGAGCAUCUGAAUUCCACGAAGAAUCCGGUAAAU